rnacentral:misc_RNA from 1 species
AAACGAUUUUGGGUUAAAUCCUACGUGUAAUGCUUCUAGGUCAUGUCAUGUUGUAUUACAAUAACUUUCAAAAUCAAUCUUUAAUAAAACCACCGGUUUACCCAGAUGAAUAGAUGAAAUCCUAAACAUGAAGUUUUACCAGUCAAUUUCACUCCAGAACAAGACCCUUCAAUAUCUACAUUUUCUUUCUUUGACAAGGGAAAAGCCCACAUUUUCCAACAGUAAGAAAUAGAAGAUUAACCCAGGAAAUUCCACAAUUUUCUAUCUAGAGGUUCAAUUCAUUUUGUUCAUUGCU